AAUCAUUAAUCAAAGGUAGCAGUUUAGUUUACAGGCAAAGUUUCAUGGUAGCUGUAUCGGAUAUAGUUACAUCUUUCAUAUGGGUUUGAGGUUAUGGUACUGAUAAUAUCGUCAUUAAGCGUGCAUAUUCUUCUUGCAUAGCCCUUGGACCUAAUAAGCUUUCUACCUUUCACACAUGAUAGAGCCUCUCAAAUUCUCAUGAAUUGCAUGCAUUUGAUAAAAGCACCAAUUAACCUGCAACAUGGGAUAAUUAGCUGUUCAGAAAGUUUCCCCUAACAAAUUGCAAAGCAAAUCA
rnacentral:lncRNA from 1 species